rnacentral:rRNA from 1 species
CCCUUAGAUGUUCUGGGCCGCACGCGCGCUGCAAUGGCAGACUCAGCGAGUUACCUCUGUCGAAAGGCACAGGGAAUCUUUACAGUAUCUGCCGUGAUGGGGAUAGACCCUUGUAAUUUUUGGUCUUCAACGAGGAAUUCCUAGUAAACGCAAGUCAUUAACUUGCAUUGAUUACGUCCCUGCCCUUUGUACACACCGCCCGUCGCACCUACCGAUUGAAUGGUCCGGUGAAGUCCUCGGACCCAGUUGAACCUCGAGUUGAACAGGGAAAGUUGACUAAAUCUUACCAUUUAGAGGAAGGAGAAGUCGUAACA